rnacentral:sRNA from 1 species
UAAUGAGGAAGUCAGCCUAAAAACGUCGCCGUGCGACAACGGCUGACUGACCCACGUCCUGUAGG